UUUCAGCUUGUCUGUACAGAAAGAGCGCAGAGUUCACAGCACAGCAGAAGGAAGGCUUGAUCCUGCCAGAUCGAGACAGCAGGGGCGGAGCCUACUCAGUCAACUGAGAGGGACCAAAUUGGUGGUGGAGGCUACGAAGGAGGAGAACGUUGGAACAUAGGCACCUGAAAGCAGCAGAAUAGGUCAGUCAUGGAGUCCUGUAGUUCUGCUCUCUGUGUCCUGAUCCUAC